GCUCUAGUAGCUUAACGUAAAAGCAUCAGUUUUGUAAUCUGAAGAUUGGAGGUUAAACCCCUCUCUACCGCU
rnacentral:tRNA from 1 species